UACGAAGGGGGGCUAGCGUUGCUCGGAAUCACUGGGCGUAAAGGGUGCGUAGGCGGGUCUUUUAAGUCAGGGGUGAAAUCCUGGAGCUCAACUCCAGAACUGCCUUUGAUACUGAGGAUCUUGAGUUCGGGAGAGGUGAGUGGAAUUCCGAGUGUAGAGGUGAAAUUCGUAGAUAUCGGGAGGAACACCAAUGGCGAAGGCAGCUUGCUGGGACGGUACUGACGCUGAGGCGCGAAAGCGUGGGGAGCAAACAGG
rnacentral:rRNA from 1 species